UUUGACACCCCUGAUCUAUGGAUUCCAUACUUAAAAAUACUUUAAAAAAAUAAAAUAAAAGAAUUGCAUUUUGCUCCUGUUCACCAGGAUUGCUUCAUUCAAGCUUUACCGUGAUUUCGCAAGGGUGUCAAAUGGUGGCCCGUGGGCCAAUGCGUCAUCCACAGACCACGUCCACCCCAACUCCACAAAGGGAAAAACAUAGCAAAACAUCACACGAGAGCAACAUGACACCGCCAAUUUGAUAACCGGUGCUUUAACGGAAUAUCAGUGACCUGGGGGAAGAGGGGAAGAGGCAAGAGCUCCCAAUGGCUUAUUGGGCAGGGAAAGAAACUUAGGAUCUGCCCUAUCAGGCAGUUAAGUGGUGGCUGGAAGUUCGCACCUUGAGACAUCAUUGCUUGCCAAGAAUUAAACACAGGAUACCAUUUUCUGUUGCUCAGCACAUCUUUGUUGCAUGUAGUUUCACCCCUAUUAAAAUGCUACGAGUGGUUGUACAUUUAUCCUUGAGAACCUCUGCUUAUGCUACAAAUAAUACCCAGGGCAUCUUUGAAACAUCUCACUUUUUAUUCAGAAAACAUAUCCCUAACAUUGUGAAGGCAUUGAAGUGUGAGGAUAGUCUAUCUUGUUUUAUGGCCAUUCAGCAAGAUAUGUAAAAUGUAGCUGACCUGGCUGGUGAACACAAACAUAUUCUGUGCUAGCAACUCCUGGAAUGUCCCAUUAUGUUAUAAUCCUACACAAGAAUUAUUGCCUCCUGCUGGACAGUUCUAACAUAUCAUCCAUCUAUUUAUUUUUCUCUCUGUAAAACUGCAACAGAGGGCUUAACGACAAGUUCCAUGAAAAGAUGAAUGUAAGUCAUCCAGCAAAGCACACGUUUUCAAAAUAAUCAACAACUGCAAGAAUCCGUUAUUUAUUGAAGUGAAAACCGCAGAAUGAAUCAUUCACAUUUUCUCACGUCCUCCAAUAUGGUGGGUAACUUUCAGAAUGUACGUUUAGAUGUCCAAUAUGAGACCUCACACAUCUGGAAGAUAUAAGAGUUGGGAAGACUGGACUAAGACUGGUAUCAAGAGGAGUUUCAGUCCGCUUUGAAAAUGCUGAACCUAGCCGAUACAUGUGCUCUGUUCAUUUUUAUUUUCAUUCCUAUAAAAAUGUAAUCUCAUUUUUU